rnacentral:rRNA from 1 species
UACGUAGGUGGCAAGGCGUUGUCCGGAUUUACUGGGCGUAAAGGAUGCGUAGGCGGACAUUUAAGUCAGAUGUGAAAUACCCGAGCUUAACUUGGGUGCUGCAUUUGAAACUGGGUGUCUAGAGUGCAGGAGAGGUAAGUGGAAUUCCUAGUGUAGCGGUGAAAUGCGUAGAGAUUAGGAAGAACACCAGUGGCGAAGGCGACUUACUGGACUGUAACUGACGCUGAGGCAUGAAAGCGUGGGGAGCAAACAGGA